rnacentral:lncRNA from 1 species
AGCCGGCAGAGUGGGACCGGGGACGGACUUACGGCCCCGCCGGAAGUGCCCGGGGCCACGGCGUGCAACUGCCGCCCGCCAUUUUGGCUUCAUCCUGCCGAGUUCCGCCUCGGCUCCUAGAGGACCCUCCGUGUCCUGCUACCGCUGGAAGUGGGUCCCCCCCGGUCCCAAACGAGGUUCUUCGUGGAGGGUCCGAGAAUCGCUUUGCCAACAUAACAUUCCUUGAGUUGUUUCAGGGUCUAGUCCUUUUCUGGAAUCCUGGUGCUGAGAGCCAGACUCCAGAAUGUGGUGCCCAUCCCAAAGUAUUGCUGCUCGUGGAUGCCUGACUAGAACAUUGUCCAGCAACUAGAAUGGCCCCAUUCCUUCAUUACUUUCUCACAUCCUGACCCACAAUUUCACUAACUGGGGGAGAAGAGUGUGCAAUGUUAAGAACUCCUGGCUCCAAUUACUAGCUGCAUGACCUCAAGCAAAGUAUUCCUCAGCUAUAAAGUGGGGAUAACAUACGACAUACCUUGACAAUGGUGAAGAAGUCAUCGAAAACAGGAUGUUUGUUCUGGUAAACGUUCUGUAUAUCUAAGUGUGUGUUUAGGAUUUUUAUUAUUCUUAUUCUGGGAUAAUGUUCCGGAAUGAAGAAGGAGAAGGCAGUGUGUGAUGAAAAAGGAAAGUACAUCUAACAUCUGGGGCUCUUAACACCCAAACUCACGUCCUUAAAUUUGGACUUCGUGACGUGUUUUUCAGUUUCUCAAUCUAUUAUGCCUAUUAUGG